rnacentral:rRNA from 1 species
UACGAAGGGGGCUAGCGUUGCUCGGAUUGACUGGGCGUAAAGGGCGCGUAGGCGGCUUCUUAAGUCAGGGGUGAAAUCCUGGAGCUCAACUCCAGAACUGCCUUUGAUACUGAGGAGCUUGAGUCCGGGAGAGGUGAGUGGAACUGCGAGUGUAGAGGUGAAAUUCGUAGAUAUUCGCAAGAACACCAGUGGCGAAGGCGGCUCACUGGCCCGGUACUGACGCUGAGGUGCGAAAGCGUGGGGAGCAAACAGG